rnacentral:misc_RNA from 1 species
AACGCACAUUGCGCCCGCCAGUAUUCUGGCGGGCAUGCCUGUUCGAGCGUCAUUUCAACCAUCAAGCCCCCGGCUUGUGUUGGGGACCUGCGGCUGCCGCAGGCCCUGAAAACCAGUGGCGGGCUCGCUGUCACUCCGAGCGUAGUAGUUUACAUCUCGCUCAGGACAUGCUGCAGGUUCCGGCCGUUAAAAGCCUUAUUUUACCCAAGGUUGACCUCGGAUCAGGUAGGAAGACCCGCUGAACUUAA